rnacentral:rRNA from 1 species
AUUGAACGCUGGCGGCAGGCCUAACACAUGCAAGUCGAGCGGAUGCAGGGUGCUUGCUCCUGGUUUCAGGGGCCGAGUGGUGAAUAAUUGCUAGGAACCUCCCUGUUAGUUGGUGCUAACGUCCGGAAACGGGCGCUCAUACGCCAUUACCCCAUACGACCAACGUGUGAGAUCUUCGGAUCUUCGGCUCUCGCGCGAUCCGAGGUCGGAUUAGCUAGUUGGCGGGGUAAAGGCCUACCAAGGCGACGAUCCGUAACUGGUCUGAGAGGAUGAUCAGUCACACUGGAACUGAGACACGGUCCAGACUCCUACGGGAGGCAGCAGUGGGGAAUAUUGGACAAUGGGCGAAAGCCUGAUCCAGCCAUGCCGCGUGUGUGAAGAAGGUCUUCGGAUUGUAAAGCACUUUUAGUUGGGAGGAAGGGCAGUAAGUUAAUACCUUGCUGUUUUGACGGUACCAACAGAAUAAGCACCGGCUAACUUCGUG